GACGAACGCUGGCGGCCCGUCUAACACAUGCAAGUCGAACGGAGCUUGCCUGUCUGAUCCUUUCGGGGUGACGACUUGUAAGCUUAGUGGCGAACGGGUGAGUAACGCGUGGGGAACCUGCCUCAAAGAGGGGGACAACAGUUGGAAACGACUGCUAAUACCGCAUAAGCCCACAGCUCGGCAUCGAGCAGAGGGAAAAGGAGUGAUCCGCUUUGAGAUGGCCUCGCGUCCGAUUAGCUGGUUGGUGAGGUAACGGCCCACCAAGGCGACGAUCGGUAGCCGGACUGAGAGGUUGAACGGCCACAUUGGGACUGAGACACGGCCCAGACUCCUACGGGAGGCAGCAGUGGGGAAUAUUGCACAAUGGGGGAAACCCUGAUGCAGCGACGCCGCGUGGAGGAAGAAGGUCUUCGGAUUGUAAACUCCUGUUGUUGAGGAAGAUAAUGACGGUACUCAACAAGGAAGUGACGGCUAACUACGUGCCAGCAGCCGCGGUAAAACGCAGGUCACAAGCGUUGUCCGGAAUUACUGGGUGUAAAGGGAGCGCAGGCGGGAAAGCAAGUUGGAAGUGAAAUCCAUGGGCUCAACCCAUGAACUGCUUUCAAAACUGUUUUUCUUGAGUAGUGCAGAGGUAGGCGGAAUUCCCGGUGUAGCGGUGGAAUGCGUAGAUAUCGGGAGGAACACCAGUGGCGAAGGCGGCCUACUGGGCACCAACUGACGCUGAGGCUCGAAAGUGUGGGUAGCAAACAGG
rnacentral:rRNA from 1 species